rnacentral:rRNA from 1 species
CCAGGAGCAUGGCUGGGUAGCUACGUACAGACGGGAUAAGCGCUAAAAGCAUCUAAGCGUGAAGCCCCCCUCAAGAUGAGAUUUCCCAACACGUAAGACCCCUUGAAGACGACGAGGUAGAUAGGUUGGAGGUGGAAGUGCAGCAAUGCAUGGAGCUGACCAAUACUAAUCGGUCGAGGGCUUAUCCAA